ensembl:lncRNA
GGGGGAUUUCUGAAAAGAAAACGCGUGAUUUUCGUGUUAAAUGGAAGAUUCCUGAAGAGAAAAUGCAUGAUUUUUGCUUAAACGGCGGAUUUGUGAAGAGAAAAUGCGUGAUUUUUGCUUAAAUGGGGGAUUUGCGAAGAGAAAACGCGUGAUUUUCGGGUUAAAUGGAAGAUUCCUGAAGAGAAAAUGCGUGAUAUUUGCUUAAAUGGCGGAUUUGUGAAGAGAAAACGUGUGUUUUUCGCUUAAAUGGGGGAUUUGCAAAUUGAAAAUGUGCCAUUUUCGGGUUAAAUGGGGGAUUUGUGAAGAGAAAACAUGUGUUUUCCACAUAAAUGGGGGAUUUGCGAAGAGAAAACGCGUGAUUUUCGCAUAAAUGGGGGAUUCUCGAAGAGAAAAUGCGUGAUUUUCGCUUAAAUGGGGGAUUUGCGAAGAGAAAACGCGUGAUUUUCGGGUUAAAUGGAAGAUUCCUGAAGAGAAAACGCGUGAUAUUUGCUUAAAUGGCGGAUUUGUGAAGAGAAAACGUGUGUUUUUCGCUUAAAUGGGGGAUUUGCAAAUUGAAAAUGUGCCAUUUUCGGGUUAAAUGGGGGAUUUCCGAAGAGAAAACAUGUGUUUUCCACAUAAAUGGGGGAUUUGCGAAGAGAAAACGCGUGAUUUUCGCAUAAAUGGGGGAUUCUCGAAGAGAAAACGCGUGAUUUUCGCUUAAAUGGGGGAUUUCUGAAGAGAAAACGCGUGAUUUUCGCUUAAAUGGGGGACUUGCAAAGAGAAUACGCGCCAUUUUGCGUUAAAUGGAGGAUUCUCAAAGAGAAAACGUGAUUUUCGCAUAAAUGUGGGAUUUGAGAAAACGCGUGAUUUUCGCUUAAAUG